GCCCAGAUAGCUCAGUUGGUAGAGCAAAGGACUGAAAAUCCUUGUGUCAGUGGUUCAAUUCCACUUCUGGGCACCA
rnacentral:tRNA from 2 species